AGGCCCUAUGGGAGCCAUGAGAAGGAAUCACGCGUGGGACAUCCGGGCACGAUCUGGACAUGGCCAGGGAGGCCAAGCCGAGCCGGGUCAGGUUGGGCCAAAAGAGGCCGCACAGCAGCAGCCUGUACCCCAGUACCUGCGACCUGGACUACAACCUCUACAGGGAUGACUUCCCAUACCGGGUGUAUGAGUACCAGAAGAUCCCACCCCUCAUUAACCGCAUCCCCGUCAAGGCCAGGAGAACGCACGCAAGAGCGGGAGGCACGAGCAGCCCCAGCCCCCAGCACGGGGCGCGGAGCAGCGCCAGCUCCACGGGGACGCGGAUGAAACUGAGAGCCGAGGAGCUGCACUCCAUCAAGGGGGAGCUGAGCCAGAUCAAGGAGAGGGUGGACAACCUGCUGGAGAGCCUGGAGCGCAUGGACCAGCGCAGGGAGCGGCUCUCGGGGUGCAAGGAGAGCGAGAAGAAGAAGGCGGAGGUGGGCUCAGCAUCACCGGCCCCGCCGGGAGAGGGCUCACGAGGCAAGGAGGGGAGCGGAGGGGACGGGCGCAACAUCGACAGCGCCGACGAGAGCACAGACACGGAGGAGACGAUGAAGGCCCACACCUCGGAUCCCGAGGGGAGCCAGUAGUGGGGAUGCCGGAGCCCCGCAGCUCCUGCCCCAUCUCCGCGUCCGCUUGGAGGCUCCCGGCAGGUGCCAGGCCGGUGCCCAGUGCCCCUCCCUGCACUCACGUCCCCACCACCAGUGCCAGCAGCCCCGUGCCCCGCGUUGGCCAGCCGUGGUGAGAGAAGUCUUUGUGUUUGAGUGCGCGUUCUUCUUUUUAUUCCUCCUGUUUUGCAGUGUAAGUAAGUUGGGGGUCGGGGGGGUAGGAGGGCAGAAGCUCCGCACCCCGAAGGAUCGUUAGCCCAGAGCUGAGGUCCGCCGUGUCCCCGCUCCUCACCUCCCCACUGGGUAAAGCAUCCCCUGGGCAAAGCAUCACACCCAGCCCCUCCAUCCCACGAGCACAGCGCGGGCCGGAUGCGCUCCCCGUGCAGGACGAAGCCACAGCGCUGUCCCUGCUGGGCAGUGGUGAGCACACGGGUGGCCACAGGUGAUACCGCCAGCACAGGGCGCCCAGUGGUGCGGUAUGGAGCCCAGCAUCCCCUCACCAGUGGGCUUCUCUUAACGGUGUCCCGAGGGCUCCGUUCUUUGCCAUCCCUCCAUCCCUCUCCCUCCGUGUCUGUGUCCCCCGUUUCGGGGUCGUCCUCCUCGUGCUGGUAGGAAGUUGUCCUGUAUUUCUCAUUUGCUCCGGCGAAAGAGUGAAUUGUGCUGGAAAGGACAAAAACAAUCCAUCA
ensembl:lncRNA